GCCCUCGUAGCACAAAUGGAUAAGUGCAACUCGGUUCUAACGAGGAGGUUGCGGGUUCGAACCCCGCCGAGGGCACAA
rnacentral:tRNA from 1 species